GCUCCCGUGGCUCAAUUGGAUAGAGCAACGGAUUUCUAAUCCGUAGGUUGCAGGUUCGAAUCCUGCCGGGAGUA
rnacentral:tRNA from 1 species